AAAUUUGUUGGUCUAUAGAAAAAUCUUGCCACUUAAUUCCUUAUAUUAUGCUUUACAAAUUCCUAAAGGGAAUCAGAUUCUAGCUUCACUCUCACAUUACCUAGGUCAUUGAAAACUAACCUUUUUAAGGGAGAAACAUUUUGAGUACAAUUGAUAAUACUGAGGUAGGUGAUCAAGUGAAUGUUUGUCCUCAAGUCACAUGACCAAAGAGCACCAAUAAUGUCUAAUCAGAAAAGCUUUCAUACACUGACUGAUCUCAGUCAUUAGGUUGUUCAGGGCACCUAGUGAGUUCUAGAUUAAAGCUCUAGAUAUUGG